CAAAAGUUUGGUCCUAACUUUACUAUCAAUUUUAGAUAAAUUUAUACAUGCAAGUAUCCGCACUCCUGUGAGAAUGCCCUAUAGCCCCCCCCCCCUUUUUUAAGGAGGCAAGGAGCCGGUAUCAGGCGCACCCAUCAAGCCCAUAACACCUUGUUCAACCACACCCUUAAGGGAACUCAGCAGUGAUAAAUAUUAAGCCAUAAGUGAAAACUUGACUUAGUUAAAACUAAUAAGAGCCGGUAAAACUCGUGCCAGCCACCGCGGUUAUACGAGAGGCCCAAAUUGAAAGACAUCGGCGUAAAGCGUGGUUAAAUUAAAAUUAAACUAAAGUUAAAUAUCUUUAAGGCUGUCAUACGUGCCCAAAGACAAGAACUUCAAUCACGAAAGUAACUUUAUAUAAACUGAACCCACAAAAGCUAUAACCCAAACUGGGAUUAGAUACCCCACUAUGCCUAGCCAUAAACAUUGAUAGCACAAUACCCUCUAUCCGCCAGGGGACUACGAGCAACAGCUUAAAACCCAAAGGACUUGGCGGUACUUUAGACCCACCUAGAGGAGCCUGUUCUAAAACCGAUACCCCCCGUUCAACCUCACCCUUCCUUGUUUUACCCGCCUAUAUACCGCCGUCGUCAGUUUACCCUGUGAAGGAUAAAUAAUAAGCUAAACUGGUAUAACCUAAAACGUCAGGUCGAGGUGUAGCGUAUGAAAGGGGAAGAAAUGGGCUACAUUCGCUAUUUUAGCGAAUACGAAACAUGUACUGAAACGUGUAUUCGAAGGAGGAUUUAGCAGUAAGUAGGAAAUAGAGUGUCCCCCUGAAAAUGGCCCUGAAGUACGCACACACCGCCCGUCACUCUCUCCAAAACUAAUACCAAAUUAACUAAAACCUAAUUAUACAAAUAGAAGAGACAAGUCGUAACAUGGUAAGUGUACCGGAAGGUGCACUUGGUAUAAU
rnacentral:ncRNA from 1 species